AUGGAUGGCACGGCCGCCUGGCUGCUGACCGCAGAUGAAGGAGCAGGACUCAUGGACCUCCUCACUGGAGCCCGGACCCCGCUACCAGCAUACGAUGACGACACCCGGCGGCAGCUGGAGAAUCCCCGCGGCAUGAUCUCCAGCGACGGCACCGUCCUCCUCUACGACUCUAAACGCCAGUCGGCCCACAGGCUCGCCUUCAUGGCGACCUUCUUGCGUCCGGGCGAUGUGGCAUGGACGCAGGUGAAAACCACGCUGGAUUAUUCGCCAGACACUGGCAUUUGUUUCAGCGCCACGGCGGCGUACCACGACGGCAAGAUCCUGGUGUGUGCGGACGUGAACUAUUGGUGCAUCCUCACGCCAGACGAUCAUAGCGUCACUCACAGGCUCGAGCCAUUGACGAUGUCGAAGUAUUACAGAGGGUGGUGCCAGAGAAACAGCUACUUCCUGGAGUUUCAGGGUCAACUGUUGUGGGUGUCCGUCAUGGUCAAAUACAGGUACGAUGAGCCAACACACAUGCUAUCUCUCGUACUGCAUGCGUUGGAGGAAGAAGACAAGAUGCGUUGGACGGUGAGUGACGGCGCGAGCUUGGGCGACCAAGUUCUCUUCCUUGGCUCCCACGCUAGCUUCGCCAUGGAUGCUGCGCGGCUGGGUGUGGAUGGCGGGUGUGCCUAUUUCAUCUUUACAAACGAUGUGCUUAGGUACAACUUUGUUGACGGUGAGGUCAGUCUCGUGGAAAACCUUCCUCCAGACUGGCCUGCCAUCAAAGAAUGGGACUGGCUCCUGCCUCAGCCUACAAUUGCUUCGGUUCAGGAAAUUAGGAAAAGGCUCGGGCUUCAACAGGAACAUUGA
rnacentral:rRNA from 1 species